GGGCAGUGAUGACAGAAAUCGUUUCUCGAAUCUGAUACUGGAUCCAAGGGGUUAUUCGUAUGAUUGUUAUUGAUCUGCGUAUGCCUUUUUCUGAUUUGAUGACUGUUUGUGCGUGUCUGAGCUCU